GAGUAGAGCAACAGGGAUUGCCCUAGUAACGGCGAGUGAAGCGGCAACAGCUCAAAUUUGAAAUCUGGCUCUCGGGCCCGAGUUGUAAUUUGUAGAGGAUACUUUUGAUGCGGUGCCUUCCGAGUUCCCUGGAACGGGACGCCAUAGAGGGUGAGAGCCCCGUCUGGUUGGAUGCCAAAUCUCUGUAAAGUUCCUUCAACGAGUCGAGUAGUUUGGGAAUGCUGCUCUAAAUGGGAGGUAUAUGUCUUCUAAAGCUAAAUACCGGCCAGAGACCGAUAGCGCACAAGUAGAGUGAUCGAAAGAUGAAAAGCACUUUGAAAAGAGAGUUAAAAAGUACGUGAAAUUGUUGAAAGGGAAGCGUUUAUGACCAGACUUGGGCUUGGUUAAUCAUCUGGGGUUCUCCCCAGUGCACUUUUCCAGUCCAGGCCAGCAUCAGUUUUCCCCGGGGGAUAAAGGCGGCGGGAAUGUGGCUCUCUUCGGGGAGUGUUAUAGCCCACCGUGUAAUACCCUGGGGGGGACUGAGGUUCGCGCAUCUGCAAGGAUGCUGGCGUAAUGGUCAUCAACGACCCGUCUUGAAACACGGACCAAGGAGUCGUCUUCGUAUGCGAGUGUUCGGGUGUCAAACCCCUACGCGUAAUGAAAGUGAACGCAGGUGAGAGCUUCGGCGCAUCAUCGACCGAUCCUGAUGUUCUCGGAUGGAUUUGAGUAAGAGCAUACGGGGCCGGACCCGAAAGAAGGUGAACUAUGCCUGUAUAGGGUGAAGCCAGAGGAAACUCUGGUGGAGGCUCGCAGCGGUUCUGACGUGCAAAUCGAUCGUCAAAUAUGGGCAUGGGGGCGAAAGACUAAUCGACGUUCAGG
rnacentral:rRNA from 1 species